rnacentral:ncRNA from 1 species
CAUUUUUUGUUAAUAUUAAGUUAACUAGGCACCGAAGAAUUAAAUUAUGUCUAAUUAAUCCUCUACUUUGUCUUGUUACACAGCUGGUUAGUAUGUGGUUUAAUGUAAGUUUGACAUUGGGACAAUUUUUGCAUUGUGAAGUGUUAUUUGCUAAGAUUUGCCUUUCUUGUGCAUGGCAAAUUACAGNGCAUGGAAUAACACUAUAGGAAAAGUUAGUGUGGUUUCACUAUCUUUUUCAUGGUUAAUAGGAACAAACGGGGGCAUUCGUAUCGCUACGUUAGAGGUGAAAUUCUUGGACCGUAGCGAGACGUCCUACUGCGAAAGCAUUUGCCAAGAAUGUUUUCAUUAAUCAAGAACGAAAGUUAGAGGUUCGAAGGCGAUCAGAUACCGCCCUAGUUCUAACCGUAAACGAUGCCUACUAGGUGUAUGAAUUAUUAGUUAUAAUAAUUUAUGCACCUUCUCGGAAACGAAAGUCUUUCGGU